rnacentral:rRNA from 1 species
AUUGAACGCUGGCGGCAAGCCUCACACAUGCAAGUCGAACGAGUGGCGGACGGGUGAGUAAUGUCUGGGAACCUGCCUGAUGGAGGGGGAUAACUACUGGAAACUGUAUCUAAUACCGCAUACCAUCGUAUGUGCCCAGAUGGGAUUAGCUAGUAGGUGGGGUAAAGGCCUACCUAGGCGACUCUACAUAGCCGACCUGCGAGGGUGAUAGGCCACGCGGGGACUGAGACACGGCCCAGACGCCUACGGGAGGCAGCAGUAGGGAAUCUUCGGCAAUGGGGGGAACCCUGACCGAGCAACGCCGCGUAAGUGAAGAAGGUUUUCGGGUUGUAAAGUACUUUCAGCGGGGAGGCGUUACCCGCAGAAGAAGCACCGGCUAACUCCGUGCCAGCAGCCGCGGUAAUUC